CGGGGGUUAGCUCAGUUGGCUAGAGCGCACGGUUUGGGACCGUGAGGUCGAUGGUUCAAGUCCAUUACCCCCGA
rnacentral:tRNA from 1 species